rnacentral:rRNA from 1 species
UACGUAGGGUGCGAGCGUUGUCCGGAAUUAUUGGGCGUAAAGAGCUCGUAGGCGGUCUGUCGCGUCUGCUGUGAAAUCCCGAGGCUCAACCUCGGGCUUGCAGUGGGUACGGGCAGGCUAGAGUGCGGUAGGGGAGAAUGGAAUUCCUGGUGUAGCGGUGAAAUGCGCAGAUAUCAGGAGGAACACCGGUGGCGAAGGCGGUUCUCUGGGCCUUACCUGACACUGAGGAGCGAAAGCGUGGGGAGCGAACAGG